AUUGAACGCUGGCGGCAGGCCUAACACAUGCAAGUCGAGCGGAUGAAGGGAGCUUGCGCCUGGAUUCAGCGGCGGACGGGUGAGUAAUGCCUAGGAAUCUGCCUGGUAGUGGGGGAUAACGUCCGGAAACGGGCGCUAAUACCGCAUACGUCCUGAGGGAGAAAGGGGGGGAUCUUCGGACCUCACGCUAUCAGAUGAGCCUAGGUCGGAUUAGCUAGUUGGUGGGGUAACGGCGUACCAAGGCGACGAUCCGUAACUGGUCUGAGAGGAUGAUCAGUCACACUGGAACUGAGACACGGUCCAGACUCCUACGGGAGGCAGCAGUGGGGAAUAUUGGACAAUGGGCGAAAGCCUGAUCCAGCCACGCCGCGUGUGUGAAGAAGGUCUUCGGAUUGUAAAGCACCUUAAGUUGGGAGGAAGGGCAGUAAGUUAAUACCUUGCUGUUUUGACGUUACCAACAGAAUAAGCACCGGCUAACUUCGUG
rnacentral:rRNA from 1 species